UUUUACACAACAACAGCAUGUUUGCACAGUCCCUCGUUUGUAAGAAUUUAAUAACGCCCUUGUUUUCAUUGAAAGUUAAUCUGAAGAGGAUUUUUUUUUAACUACUGCAUUGUAUUAUAAAGAGCAUAUGCUUGUUUGGUCAAAGCUGCUGAAAUUAUGGUUUUCAGAGGGGUUCCUGUGAUCACUCCAUAGUUUCAGUUACAUGAUCAGUUACAAAUGAUUAUAUUACUCAGUGUGCUUUUGUUAGAAUAUGUUUAAAUGCUAUAAAGGUUUAGAUAAUUUUUCACUCUAUCCAUUUUUUAAAUGGUUGGCUCAUCUAUAUGAACUUUCUUGUAUUCAUCCUGAGACUUCUUUCAUGCCCCUGGUGUAGAUUUAUCACAGUACUGACUUGGUCAGAGAGGUGUAUUUAUACUGCACUGAAAUGAAAUCCAUGUGACCUCUCGAACAUGACUGUCAGUUGUGCCACAUUAUAAAUGCUUGCGCAGUUGUUUACCCCCAAUGUUUUAAACUAAAAAAUUCCAUAUUUAUCUAAUUUUGAAAAGGGUCAUUUGUUCAUCUGGUGUAAUUAAGACAAAACCAGUUGUUAGUAGAAAAACAUGUUUUUACUGUGAUCAGCAGGUCUGAAUGUCAUUAACUCUCCAAGGCUGAUAAUUACUAUGACCAUGCAUAGCUUUAGUUCAUAUUUGUGCUUUGCUGUGGCUUUGACAUCUGAUUUUUAAAAAUAAAGACAAAGGUAGACUACAUUCUUUACUAUCACACAAGUGUAUUGCAAUGUGGAAACAGAGAUACAUGGAAAAAAGUACAGAAACGGGGUGAUAACCUGUGAGCUAUCCAUGGUGCUGAAAUGUUUUUACAGGGAAGAGUUUUUUAAAUGUCAAAUCCAGUGAUUUCUCGUGGAAUACGUCAAACAAUACCAUUUGUUUCAUUCUGAAAACAUAUCAAAUAUUGUCAUUAAUGGGGGAGGGGUCCAUUCAAUUGAACUACAUAUCAAAACAUUUGAAGUAUUUAAUAUGGCUGGGAAUUGAUGGUAUUAAAAUAUGGUUUGGGUUUUAGCAGAGGAAAUGUUCAAAUUAAUAAAGUUCUAUGCCACUUAAAUGUAGUUUAAGUUGUUUUGGUCAGCUUGUAUGUUUUGCAUGCAGUUUAGUAUGUGCUCAAUUAUACAACUCUGUAUUCCAUCCAGUUUUUUUUUAAGCCAUCCAGUACAACACAGCUGCAGAUGACUUGAUUGUAAGAAUGUUUUUACAUACAAUCUGACCACAUCCCCAAAAGUAUGCAUUUUUAAAAGUGAAACCAGUCAUGGAGAAUACUAUUUUUCAUUAGUCUGUCUUGUGCAUGAAUAUUAUAUACCCUAGGGGAUGAACAAAUAGAUAUAGAGGGAAAUGAAAGUGUUUCACAAUGAAACGGCGUUAACUACCAACCAAUUUUUAUUGGUUUGUUCCUAACAAUCAUUACACAAGUACAGCUAUUAACAAAUAAAGGAAAAAAAAAUGCACACUUGUACUUAAUAGAUACCUAAACCCCACAUGAAUAUUGCUGCUGGUAUGCAUUUGACAUCAAAAUAAAUGUAGUUUCUUGGCAUUUAUAAAGCCAUUAUCAAGUUUGUUGUAUAAUGUUACACAACUUGUAUGCUUGAAAACAAAUUCAUAUUUUGUUUAAACCAUCCUUACACUGUACCAUUACACACUGCAUAUAGAAAGAUUGAAAACCCUUUUCACAGCUGCUGUACAAAUUUAUUGCGAUGCUAUCACAGAACAGAGACACAACCAACACGCAAUGCACAAUUCUGACAGGGUGAGUUCCAGUACCAAGGACUUUUAGGGCCACCGAUCAGAUUUGGUAAGAAAACUGUGGCUACAAGAGUUAAACAGAAUCAAAGCUUACAAACGAUCUAAAACACUGUUGUUCAUUAAAAACAAAACAAUAAGUGCCCCAUCACUU